rnacentral:misc_RNA from 1 species
AACGCACGAGACCUGCGGACCUGCGGAGGGAUCAUUACUGAGAGUUACAACUACAAACCCUUGUGAACUAUUUAUGUUGCUGCUUCGGCAGGUAAUCCCAGGGCGGGAUUCUAGGCUUCUUACGGAGCACCUGCCAGCAGUAUACUCUUUUAAACUCUGAAAUUACAGCGUAAUUCUGAGUGCUAAACAAAAUAAAUUAAAACUUUCAACAAUGGAUCUCU